rnacentral:lncRNA from 1 species
CACGGACGUGAGGGCCCCCACUCAGCUCCUGGGGCUCCUGGGGCUCUGGCUGCCAGGUGCCAGAUGUGACAUCCAGAUGACCCAGUCUCCAUCCUCCCUGUCUGCAUCUGUAGGAGGCAGAGUCACCAUCACUUGCCGGGCGAGUCAGGGCAUUAGCAAUAAUUUAAAUUGGUAUCAGCAGAAACCAGGGAAAACUCCUAAGCUCCUGAUCUAUGCUGCAUCCAGUCUGCAAAGUGGGAUUCCCUCUCGGUUCAGUGACAGUGGAUCUGGGGCAGAUUACACUCUCACCAUCAGCAGCCUGCAGCCUGAAGAUUUUGCAGCUUAUUACUGUCAACAGAGUGACAGUACCCCUCC